rnacentral:rRNA from 1 species
GGACGGGGACAACUCAGGGAAACUUGAGCUAAUACCCGAUGAGACUACGUCAGGUGACUGAUGUAGCCAAAGGGGGGCUUUCGGGCUCUUGCUGAGAGAUGAGUCUGCGUCCUAUCAGUUUGUUGGUGGGGUAAUGGCCUACCAAGACGAAGACGGGUAGCCGGCCUGAGAGGGUGAACGGCCACACUGGGACUGAGACACGGCCCAGACUCCUACGGGAGGCAGCAGUGAGGAAUUUUCCGCAAUGGGCGCAAGCCUGACGGAGCGACGCCGCGUGAGGGAUGACAGCCUUCGGGUUGUAAACCUCUUUUAUUAAAGAAAAAGGUUUGGGUGUUAAUACCACCUAGAUUUGAUGGUAUUUAAUGAAUAAGCCCCGGCUAACUACGUGCCAACAGCCGCGGUAAUACGUAUGGGGCGAGCGUUGUCCGGAAUUACUGGGCGUAAAGAGCGUGUAGGCGGUUGAAAAAGUCAGGUGUGAAAUUUCUCGGCUCAACCGGGAGACUGCGUCUGAAACUUUUCGACUGGAGUUUGGGAGGGGUAACCGGAAUUCCUGGUGUAACGGUGAAAUGUGUAAUAUUAAGAGGAACACCCGUGGCGAAGGCGGGUUACUGGACCAAAACUGACGCUGAGACGCGAAAGCGUGGGGAGCAACAGGAUUAGAUACCCUGGUAGUCCACGCUGUAAACGAUGAGUGCUAGGUGUAGGAGUAUCGACUCCUUCUGUGCCGCAGCUAACGCAUUAAGCACUCCGCCUGGGGAGUACGGUCGCAAGAUUAAAACUCAAAGGAAUUGACGG